GGAGCUUUGAUGCUAGGCUAGCUAGCUACUCAGAUUAUAUCGAAGCCCCCUCCUCUUACCCCACUUCUGUGGAGACAUCCAGUAUCAAAUGUGGGAUCAGACUUUACGAAGAAACUCUAACGUAUCACAAAAGGAGGAAGGAGGCGCAUCAGUGUGGAGUGUUUCCCAGAAAACAGAGGUUGGAUGGCGUGAGGUCCAGCAGUCUCCACGCGAAACUGGACGCGCGAAACGUUUGGAAAUCCACGUGGAAGAAAGCUUCCAAGGGGGUCUCUUGACAUCUAACCGAAGGCCCUCGGGGGAUCCGUGGACCCAAGGUUGAGGAGCUUUCUGGGUCUUUCCAGAGGUCAAAUACGUUCUUUGUCUUCUUUAAUUUUGCUUUAAAGAAAUCACACAACUGACCAUCGACGCCAGCUUUCUUUUAUGCUUCGAGAAACUAACAACAGCAACAAUAAUGCAACUUCGUUGUAUAGAUCUCUUUGUAUCUGUCUCUCAUGUGACUGAUACCGUCAACCACUCCUGCAAACAGCAAAUAACAAUCUUGGCAUUUUAUUGAUCGUAUGAUACCUAUUUCUGAAUGCCACAGAAAAUAAAGAAAGAGAACGCA